UACGAGGGGAGCAAGCGUUGUUCGGAUAUACUGGGCGUAAAGGGCGCGUAGGCGGCGUGACAAGUCACUUGUGAAAUCUCCGGGCUUAACUCGGAACGGUCAAGUGAUACUGUCGUGCUAGAGUACAGAAGGGGCAACUGGAAUUCUCGGUGUAGCGGUGAAAUGCGUAGAUAUCGAGAGGAACACCUGCGGCGAAGGCGGGUUGCUGGGCUGAUACUGACGCUGAGGCGCGAAAGCCAGGGGAGCGAACGGG
rnacentral:rRNA from 1 species